rnacentral:rRNA from 1 species
GGACUGCAGUCUGCAACUCGACUGCACGAAGCUGGAAUCGCUAGUAAUCGCGGAUCAGCACGCCGCGGUGAAUACGUUCCCGGGCCUUGUACACACCGCCCGUCACACCAUGGAAGUCUGCAAUGCCCGAAGCCGGUGGCCUAACCACUUAUGUGGAAGGAGCCGUCUAAGGCAGGGCAGAUGACUGGGGUGAAGUCGUAACAAGGUAUC